rnacentral:rRNA from 1 species
UACGGAGGGGGCCAGCGUUGUUCGGAAUCAUUGGGCGUAAAGGGCGCGUAGGCGGCACGGCAAGUCAGGAGUGAAAGGCCUGGGCUCAACCGAGGAACUGCUUUUGAGACUGCCGAGCUAGAGUGCAGAAGGGGCAACUGGAAUUCCCAGUGUAGCGGUGAAAUGCGUAGAUAUUGGGAAGAACACCUGAGGCGAAGGCGGGUUGCUGGGCUGACACUGACGCUGAGGCGCGAAAGCCAGGGGAGCAAACGGG